rnacentral:miRNA from 2 species
UGUGGUAUGUUGGCAAUGUAGGAA